rnacentral:rRNA from 1 species
CAGAGCCGCGGUAAAACGUAGGGGGCAAGCGUUGUCCGAAAUCAUUGGGCGUAAAGCGCGUGUAGGCGGCUCGAUAAGUCUGCUGUGAAAGUCCAGGGCUCAACCCUGGAAUGCCGGUGGAAACUGUCGAGCUCGAGUCCGGAAGAGGCAAGUGGAAUUCCUGGUGUAGCGGUGAAAUGCGCAGAUAUCAGGAGGAACACCAAUGGCGAAGGCAGCUUGCUGGGACGGUACUGACGCUGAGACGCGAAAGCGUGGGGAGCAAACAGGAUUAGAUACCCGAGUAGUCCCUGUCUCUUAUACA